AACGAACGCUGGCGGCGUGCUUAACACAUGCAAGUCGAGCGCGAAAGGGGGUUCGCCCCUGAGUAGAGCGGCAGACGGGUGAGUAACACGUGGAUAACCUACCCCGAAGCGGGGGAUAACCACUCGAAAGGGUGGCUAAUACCGCAUAAGACCACGUCCUUGCGGGGAUGCGGUCAAAGGCUUCGGCCACUUUGGGAGGGGCCCGCGUCCGAGUAGCUAGUUGGUGAGGUAAUGGCUAACCAAGGCGACGAUCGGUAGCUGGUCUGAGAGGAUGAGCAGCCAAACUUGUACUUAGACACGGACUAGACUCCUACGGGAGGCAGCAGUGGGGAAUAUUGCGCAAGGGGCGAAAGCCUGACGCAGCAACUCCGCGUGGGUGAAGAAGGCCUUCGGGUCGUAAAGCCCUGUCAGAUGGGAAGAAACCUGGGUAACCAGCUGACGGUACCAUCAGAGGAAGCACCGGCUAACUCCGUGCCAGCAGCCGCCGUAA
rnacentral:rRNA from 1 species